rnacentral:lncRNA from 1 species
UUUUUACUUGUUUGGAUAUAAUUAUUUUCUGAUGGCCACCUGGCUAUGCCUGACUUGGAUUACUUUGAGAUUUGGGUUUGGCUUUUUUGUUGUUUGUUUGGUUUGCUUUGUUUUUGCAGUGUGCAACUAUAAUUUUAAAUAGGUAUUCUGUAUAAAAUCAUGGUUUGGUCAUAAGGGCUUUCUGUUACGCAAGCAGAAGGCUUGGAAAUGGGGUACCAGAUGGAGUGUAGAAGAGCACAGGCAGUAAAUGACCUGAAAAGAAAAAAGGCCAAGUCUGGUACUGGAGACCUGCAGUUACGAGCAACUCACCAGUGUUCAAUUAAAGAAGUGCAGACCUGUAUCAAUUAUGAAUUGUGAAAAGCCUGAAGAACCUAUGCUCAACAUAAAGAUAGAACACUCUGUACAGUCAAUUCAGGUAUAAUAUUGACUAGCAGGCCAAUGAAGAAAUAGAAAAGUGUAAAGAGUUUUAAGGAAUGCAAAAAUGAUGCCCAGUUGACUCUAGAUUGAGUAGGAAGAAACUUUCUACCUCAACAUCAUAUUCAUUCCAUCAAAGGAGUCAAGGUGCUGAAUGCUCAGCCUACAUUCCUCUCCCACUCCAGACUGAAAUUACCAAUCUUAGAAACAACAAGAGCAGUGAAAGAGAAAAGGGGUAGAUGCCUGAAGUAUGUGCAUAGCAGUUUUAAUGGAUUUAUUGAGACCUCUUCUCUAAUAAUGCAUAUAUUUACUUUUUUUUACUCUAUAGAACAGAACAUUUCAGUUGGAAGGGACCUACAAUGAUCACCCAGUCCAUCUGACUACUUCGAGGUUGACCAAAACUUCAAGCAUGUUAUUAAGGACAUUGUUCAAAUUCCUCUUAAACACACACAGGCUUGAGGCAUUGACUACCUCCCUAGGAAGCCUGUUGCAGGGUUUGACGACCCUCUUGGUAAAGAAAUGCUUCCUAAUGUCCAGUCUAAACUUCCUCUGGUGCACCUCUGAACCAUUCCCAUGUGCCCUAUAGCAACAGGAUACCAAGAAGAAGGGUAUCCAGCAAUAACUCUUUCUCCACUUCCCCUCCUCAAGAAGCUCCAGGUCAUCUUCAGCCUCCUUUUCUCCAAACUAGACAAACCUGAAGUCCUUAGCUGUUCAUAGGACAGGCUUUCCGUCCCUUUUAUCAGCUUUGUUGACCUCCCAUGGACACAUUCAAGUACCUUCACAUCCUUCUUAAAUUGCGGGGCCCAGAAGUGCUGACAACACUCAACAUGAACCCGCACCAAGGCCAAAUACGAUGGAGUAAUCAACUCCUUCAACCAGCAGUUUAUGCUGUUUGAUGCACCCCAGGAUGUGGUUUGUCUAUUUGGCUAUCAGAGCACACUACUAACUAAUGUUAAGCCUGUUGUCAACCAGCACCUUCAGAUCCCUUUCUGCAGGGCUACUCUCCAGUCACUCCUCUCCCAGGCCAGACUUGUCCCUGGCAUUACUCCAUCCUGAUACAAAAUUAGGCAUUUGAACUUGUUAAAUUUCAUCCCAUUAAGCAUUGCUUAGUGCUCUGAUCAAUCUAGAUACCUCUGCAAGGCUUCUUGUCCCUCAAUAGUCAAGAGCAUCUCCCAGUUUAUCAACAUAAAACUUCCCUCCCUCUCCUCCCCUCCCCUCUCUCCUCCCUUCCUCCCUUCCUCAUUUCCUCCCUCCCUUCCUUCCUUCCUCCCUUCU